UGAUUUCCUUCGAGCCCCUGGAGUUCAAACCCCUGUCAUUGUCCGUUUCUCAACUGUUAUCCAUGAGCGUGGCAGCCCUGAAACCCUCAGGGAUCCUCGAGGUUUUGCGACUAAGUUCUACACUAGAGAGGGUAACUUUGAUAUUGUGGGAAACAAUUUCCCUGUCUUCUUCAUCCGUGAUGGAAUAAAAUUCCCAGAUGUGAUACAUGCCUUUAAGCCCAAUCCAAAGUCUCACAUCCAAGAGUACUGGAGGAUCUUUGACUUCUUAUCACACCAUCCCGAGAGCUUGAGCACCUUCGCCUGGUUUUUUGAUGAUGUUGGAAUUCCCCAAAAUUAUAGACACAUGGAAGGUUUUGGUGUUCACGCCUUUUCUUUCAUCAAUAAGGCUGGAAAAGUAACCUACGUGAAAUUUCACUGGAAACCCACAUGCGGGGUCAAAUGUUUGAUGGAUGAUGAGGCACUUAAGAUAGGAGGUGCCAACCACAGCCAUGCUACGCAGGAUUUAUAUGACUCCAUUGCCGCUGGAAACUUUCCUGAGUGGAAACUCUUUAUCCAGACAAUGGAUCCAGCAGAUGAAGACAAAUUCGACUUUGAUCCGCUUGAUAUGACCAAGAUCUGGCCUGAGGAUAUUUUUCCCCUGCAGCAAAUUGGCCGUUUGGUCUUGAACAGGAACAUCGAUAACUGGUUUGCUGAGAAUGAGAUGCUUGCAUUCGACCCUGGUCAUAUUGUUCCUGGCAUUCACUUUUCAAACGACAAGUUAUUCCAGCUUAGGACCUUUGCCUAUGCUGAUACUCAGAGGCACCGUUUGGGACCCAACUAUAAGAUGCUCCCUGUUAAUGCCCCCAAGUGUCCUCAUCACAACAAUCACUACGAUGGUUUCAUGAAUUUCAUGCACAGAGAUGAGGAGGUAUUCAGCCUCUGUUUUUGUGGGUUUGUGUGCCGCGUGAAAUGUUUGUUACAAAAUUGGAUCAUACCACACUGUUUACACCUAAAAUAUGCCUUUCAAUGUCACUAAAAACCUCUAAUGAGAUUAUACAAGCAUUGACAGUUUGGGGAAAAUAUUUAUGUAUUGACUUGCUUAGGUGUACUUGUAGCUUCUGUUCUGAUCUGGUGCUAUGAUACUAUUUCUUAGGUCAAUUACUUCCCAUCCAGGUGUGAUCCAGUUCGCCAUUCUGAGAGAUUUCCCAUUCCUUCCACUAUCUGCAGUGGAAGGCGCGAUAAGUGUGUCAUUGAGAAGGAAAACAAUUUCGAGCAACCUGGAGAGAGAUAUAGAUCCUGGGCACCUGACAGACAAGAAAGAUUCCUCUGCAGAUUGGUUAACGCUUUAUCAGACCCGCGUAUCACCUACGAGAUUCGGGCUAUCUGGGUCUCAUAUUGGUCUCAGUGCGACAGAUCUCUGGGUCAAAAGCUUGCAUCUCGUCUCAAUGUGAGGCCAAAUAUCUAAAGGGUGAAGUUGAGCCUAUGUCGCAGAGAGGUGUUGAGGAGCACAAAAUCAUUGUCCAUCUCCACUUUGCUAUGUUGUAUAAUAAAUGAAUGUACUUAAUUAUCCAAUAAAUAAGAGAGAUGCUAUGCAUGAUAUGUGGCCUUCUGGAUUGAUUAUUUUCCAGUUUCUGUAAUUUCAAAGUCCAUAUAUAUCUUUUCCUGUAAUUUUGUGUUCUCACCCUGGACCCAAUCUACAGGUAUGCUUUCUCCUCUUUUCACAUUGUAUAAAAAAAGAAAAUAUCUUAUUAAAAACAGUGCAUUGGACGCUCAUCACUGGAAAAUCUGUUCUCUUAGAGUAGAUGAUUGUCAGACAAACCCAUUUGAAUUCUGUAAGAAAAUGUCAUGGAGAAAAACAACAGUUAGAUUUUUUUUUCUUUUCUUUUUAAAAAGGGGGUUGGAAAAGUUUUGAAUUAGAAUGUCAAAUGGAUAUUAUUUUUUCAAUUAUUAAAUUAAGUCAUAUUUUUUUAAUUAUUAAAUCAAGCAAGACUAUACGAGUAAAAUAACAGUUUGCUUUCGUUUAAUUUUGUUGAUAAACCAGGUAAUUUAUUCAAAUUAUUUGAUGUUGGACAUGUUAAGUGCUAAUAAUUGAUCAUGGUAUCAUUAUUGCCAGAGGGCAGAGGAUGGGCAGCAUAUUUCAUUCCAAUCCCUGAAUGAGCUGGCAAGCAAGUUGUUAAAAUCUUGAAUUCCUUCUGGUCCACCACCAUCUUUCAGAAUUUGGAGGUCUAAUCUCUGUCUCACUUUCCUCUUUAAUAAUUGAUGGAAUAUUUAAUUUUUUGCAGGAAUGCUUUUGGAUUUUCAUAUAUGCAUGACGACCCGCAAUCAACCCAGUAAGUUUUACUUUACCUGGACAACUUUAAUUUUCUGUUCUUAUUAUCUCGUCUUUGUCUAUUAUCACAUCAUAGGCCUGGUUGUAGUUUGGUUCGGUAAUAGAAUCGGACCAGUCCAUCCUGAAACUGAAAUCAGAUUGAAGUCGACUAAAAUCGAAUGGUCAUAAAAAAAAUUGAAAAGAAAAACCGUUAUAUUUAAUCAUAAUUGAAACCGAGUCUUAAAUCAGAAUCCUAGGUCUCGGACCAAACCGAUAGCACCCCCCCAUCACAUCAUGUUGAUUUAUUCUCAAGUAAUAAAUGGGCCGGGUAGCAUAGCAUUACCCCGACCCACGAAAACUUGGGCCAAACUCAAAUCCUUGGAAAGCAGUUUAAAACUUACAAAUGGCCCAGGAUGCAGCAUUCGUAGCUCAGCUUAACCUCAGAGCCUACAGUGCACAGCCCAUAAUCGAUUUUAGGAGCAUUCGCAUUUUCUCUCUUCAAUUUUUAAAGCUGCUUCUGCUUCCUUCAAAUCUGCCUUGGAAUUUCCUUUUAAAUGAAAACAAAAAGCCUUGGACCACACGCUUCAAGGCGUCUAUUGUGAACGUGUCAUCAAACCAAUGGUCCAUGUGGUCGUGAGUUGGUUUUAGCAGUGCACCUGGAUAGGGAACCAUCGCUUGAUGAGUCACGUCUUCAAUUAUUUUAUUCAUUUAUUUUAUUAUUUUCUUUGUCUCGAUUUUCCCACCAAUCUAUAUUUAAAUCGUGACAUCGUUGUGAGUCUUACCGUCUUGCAAAAAGAUCGUCCAAAUUCCAAAUUUAUCCCGACUUAUUUAAUUUUUAAUAAAAUAAUAUGUGUUGAUACACUAAAUAAAAUUUAUUUAUCAAUUUAAUUAUAUUAAUUAUAUUUUUUAAUUCACAUAAAAAUAUAAUAGAAGUAAAAUCUAUCUGACGUGAUGGAGCAUUUUAU
rnacentral:misc_RNA from 1 species